GAUGAACGCUGGCGGCGUGCCUAAUACAUGCAAGUCGAGCGAACGGACGAGAAGCUUGCUUCUCUGAUGUUAGCGGCGGACGGGUGAGUAACACGUGGAUAACCUACCUAUAAGACUGGGAUAACUUCGGGAAACCGGAGCUAAUACCGGAUAAUAUUUUGAACCGCAUGGUUCAAAAGUGAAAGACGGUCUUGCUGUCACUUAUAGAUGGAUCCGCGCUGCAUUAGCUAGUUGGUAAGGUAACGGCUUACCAAGGCAACGAUGCAUAGCCGACCUGAGAGGGUGAUCGGCCACACUGGACCUGAGACCCGGUCCAGACUCCUACGGGAGGCAGCAGUAGGGAAUCUUCCGCAAUGGGCGAAAGCCUGCCGGAGCACCGCCGCGUGAGUGAUGAAGGUCUUCGGUUCGUAAACCUCUGUUAUUAGGGAAGAACAUAUGUGUAAGUACCUGUGCACAUCUUGCCGGUACCUAAUCAGAAAGCCCCGGCUACCUCCGU
rnacentral:rRNA from 1 species